rnacentral:rRNA from 1 species
CCGGCACGGGUGGAGUAACACGUAUGCAAUCCACCUGUAACAGGGGGAGUAACCCGGAGAAAUCCGGACUAAUACCCCAUAAUAUGGGCGCUCCGCAUGGAGAGCCCAUUAAAGAGAGCAAUUUUGGUUACAGACGAGCAUGCGCUCCAUUAGCCAGUUGGCGGGGUAACGGCCCACCAAAGCGACGAUGGAUAGGGGUUCUGAGAGGAAAGUCCCCCACAUUGGAACUGAGACACGGUCCAA